ensembl:lncRNA
GCACGGCUAGUGAUCCUCUCCCAUCUCCCUCCUGAUCCCUCCCCUCUCGGCAAACUUUGUUUUUCCAGCUUUGGAGGAGGACCACCACUUAAGACCAGUGUUUACAAAAAGAGUUUAGCCUGUUUGUGACUUUUCACUAUGUCUCUUGGGGGAGCUUCAUUCGCAAGUAAAGAGUCCCCUGGGUGGGAGUGUGUUCUUCGACCCCGGUUCGGAGGAGGAAGCUCCGCCUCCCCUCAGCAGCUACCUUUGUUUGACUAUUUUCACCUGUUUUUGUCCCGCAUACCCCGUCAACAUCGUGGCCCUGAUCUUCUCGAUCAUGUCUAGGAGCAGCUAUUAUCAGGGUGACUACGAUGGGUCGAGGCGGCUGGGCAGGAACGCUCUUUAUGUGGCUGUGGCCUCCAUCAUCAUCGGCCUUCUCAUCAUCGCCAUCUCCUGCAUCGUUCAUUUUACCGCUGUAAGACACGCCCCCAGAGUGGGGAAGAAUGACUCUGCACCUUCCAUUGCCUGGGGGAUUUUUGAUGCUGUGGAGGUGGAGAGUGGGGGAGAACGCUGCAGGAUAAUAUGGGCUCAGCUGGUUCGUUCAUACUGCACCAUCUGCCAGCGAAAGGACUACGACGCCUGACGUUUACUUCCAUCUGUACAUCACUUUGUCUCGGGUUGAACAUUCUGCACGUGGACAAUCACACACUAUACAACAUGGUGAAUGAUGUACAUUUUCCUUCAGCGCGUAUGGAGGUGGAAUUCAAAGCAGUGCCUGUGAUGAAACAGGCCUGCUGCCAAGUUUCACUCGGAUGAAUUCGUUUUGGCAGCGAUCUUGUACUGUUAUCUCCCAAUACUCCAAAGGGCAAUUUACAGCUUGUUUGUGGUGCCGCCUCUUUGAUGUCACACCAAAGCAAAACUCAAGCCAACGAGGUGAAAAAUGAAAUGAGUGCUGGGAUUAGGCGACUUGAAAGCACUUAGUGAGAACACUUUGUGAUCAAGGUGGACUUUGUGACAGGAAGCGGAUCACCUCGCUACGCAACGAAGCGAGUUGCAUGAAAGAUUCACACAAACAAAAUGAAUUAGGUAGUACAGUAAAGUAAAUGUACUCAUUACACUUUUUCCAGCAUUGUGAGACAACUGCGUUUUUUUCUUCUCUUCUAGAACAAUAAAUGCUAUUAUUUUCUUGUUGGCAUUCAAAGCUUUGCUGUUGUGUUGCUGGCUGCACUACAGCCCAAUUCAUUUGGAGAGACCACCAUGACUCACAUGAAGCGCUCAUAAAUAGGCCACUCAAAACAGCUGCUUCCAUUAGCGCAAGAUAGAGGCUCCGUGCGUACAUAUCCCAUGACACAUUCCUCCCAGGGAGCAGCAGUUUCAGCCGGUUUGAAUACGUGAAAGAGGAUAACUGUGGGAGUGAUGCAGAGCGCAGACGUGCAUUCGGCUACAGCCAUGAUUGAAAUGUUUGUUGUAAAUACCGAUUUGUUCCUGUUUAAUAAACUUUUUUUUCAAAAUAA